rnacentral:rRNA from 1 species
UAGGGAAUCUUCGGCAAUGGGGGCAACCCUGACCGAGCAACGCCGCGUGAGUGAAGAAGGUUUUCGGAUCGUAAAGCUCUGUUGUAAGAGAAGAACGUGUGUGAGAGUGGAAAGUUCACACAGUGACGGUAACUUACCAGAAAGGGACGGCUAACUACGUGCCAGCAGCCGCGGUAAUACGUAGGUCCCGAGCGUUGUCCGGAGUUAUUGGGCGUAAAGCGAGCGCAGGCGGUUUAAUAAGUCUGAAGUUAAAGGCCGUGGCUUAACCAUUGUUCGCUUUGGAAACUGUUAAACUUGAGUGCAGAAGGGGAGAGUGGAAUUCCAUGUGUAGCGGUGAAAUGCGUAGAUAUAUGGAGGAACACCGGUGGCGAAAGCGGCUCUCUGGUCUGUAACUGACGCUGAGGCUCGAAAGCGUGGGGAGCAAACAGG